rnacentral:rRNA from 1 species
AGGGUUUGAUCAUGGCUCAGAACGAACGCUGGCGGCAUGCCUAACACAUGCAAGUCGAACGCUAUUUAUAGAGUGGCGCACGGGUGAGUAACACGUGGGAACCUGCCUUUUUCUGCGGGAUAACGAUUGGAAACGAUCGCUAAUACCGCAUACGCCCUACGGGGGAAAGGUCCGCCGGAGAAAGAGGGGCCCGCGUCUGAUUAGCUAGUUGGUAGGGUAAUGGCUUACCAAGGCGACGAUCAGUAGCUGGUCUGAGAGGAUGAUCAGCCACACUGGGACUGAGACACGGCCCAGACUCCUACGGGAGGCAGCAGUGGGGAAUAUUGGACAAUGGGGGCAACCCUGAUCCAGCAAUGCCGCGUGUGUGAUGAAGGCCCUAGGGUUGUAAAGCACUUUCACUGGUGAAGAUGAUGACGGUAACCAGAGAAGAAGCCCCGGCUAACUUCGUGCCAGCCGCCGCGGUAAUA